AAUAAUAACACAAGGUCUUGGUCUUAAACCUCUUGUUGUCUAGACCCUAUACCUAUACAUGCAAGCCUCAACACGACGGUGAAACAGCCCACCAUCAACCAACAACGGAGCCGGUAUCAGAUUUCCCCAUGACACCAAGCAAUCAAGCCACACCCCCACGGGUCCACAGCAGUAGUUAAUAUUUGGCCAUAAGCGUAAGCUUGACCCAAUAAUAGAGUCCUUAACCAGGGCCGGUUAAUCUCGUGCCAGCGACCGCGGUUACACGACAGACCCAAGACAACACUAACGGCGUAAAGCACGACUAAAACACCAAAGUUAUCCCCGUUAGGGAUAAAAACAAACCAGGUUGUAAAAAGCCAUAAGUUACAAUAAAAACAAGCCCUAACACUAAACAACUUCAACUCGUGAAAGCCAGGACACAAACUAAGAUUAGAUACCUUACUAUGCCGGGCCAUAACAAGAUAGUUAAAUAACCCACUAUCCGCCAAAUAACUACGAGUAAAAACUUAAAAUUUAAAAGACUUGACGGUACUUCACACCAACCUAGAGGAGCCUGUCUAAUAAACCGAUGAUCCACGAUUAACCCAACCCGCUCUGGCCCAACAGUCUAUAUACCGCCGUCGCCAGCCUACCUUGUAAAAGAGAUAAAGUAAGCCUAAUAGCCCCACGCUAACACGACAGGUCGAGGUGUAACCCAUGAGCUGGACAAAGAUGGGCUACAUUUUCUAACCCAGAACAAACGAAUAAACUAUGAAACUAAAAACUGAAGGCGGAUUUAGCAGUAGGUUAGAGAUAAAACACCUAACCGAAAUUAACGCAAUGAAGUGCGUACACACCGCCCGUCAUCCCUGUAAAAUACACUAACCUAUUUAUAAACACCUAACCUUACCUUUAAAGCAGGGCAAGUCGUAACAUGGUAAGCGUACUGGAAAGUGCGCUUAG
rnacentral:ncRNA from 1 species